rnacentral:sRNA from 1 species
GUCGUGCCGGUUCGAUCGGGAUACUCAUCAAAUUAAAUCGAAAACCGAGCUGACUUCACUUGCCAAUGGCGGGCCACAAUUCGUCCCACGUCUCUUUUUCGAGACUUGUGUGGUAAGUAAGCCGAAAGGCCGGUGGAUUACAACGGCAGUGAGCACUCUAAUCUUGUAACACAGGAGUUUUCAUCACAUCACUGGGCGACCCCU